rnacentral:lncRNA from 1 species
CAGGGUGACAAUAUACAGCCUUGACGCACUCCUUUUCCUAUUUAGGACCAAUUGGAGAAAGCCAAACAAGCUUCCCUAAGCCAUCACACACGAAGACGCACUGCUAGUUAGCCGGCCUCCAACUUUCAUACUCCACACUCAGAGCCCACCCGAGGCCCUCUCCUCCCCUUGGCAGGCCGGCCUUUGAGCCUUUGCCAAACACCCGCUGUGGCCGACUCCCCUGCUCUAGCGGGCUCUGUGAAAACGUCUUCCGUGCUCCUCGGCAGGUGGUCUCUCUCGACUUCCACACCCAGACGCCAAAGGCCACUGUGCUGCCGCCGCGAGGUGUAACGUCUGCUGCGGCAACUGGAGAAACUGCCACCUGAGCGAGAAAAACCGCCACCGGCGCGCGACUUUCUGGGAGUUGUAGUUCCUCGCGCCCAGCGGGCGCACUUCCGCCACCUACCGGAAGUGCCGCCAAUAGUCGCGCGCUCAGCUGAACCUGGCCGGGGAACCAGCGCGGAGGCUCCCCUGUGCCCCACAGCCCUGCCGAGUUCAGUACGUGGACACAGUUCUUCCACUGAAUUUUUUCAGCAGAGAACAGCAAAGAUGGUAAGAACUAUGGAAACAUUAAUCAUAGCUUGUCUCUUAAUGAACACAAGCCAACGCAUUUGGAGAGUCAGUUCAGUUGUGACAAAUGCCUUGAACAGACUGAAAUAAGUCAUCCUGGAGAGGCACUACUCACAUAUAAGGACGACUGUGAUGCCUCCCACAUGGCCUCAUCUUUUACUUACUGUGACAUCAUUUAGACUGGAAAGAAGCCAUAUGAAUGUAAACAGUGUACAAGAUCUUUCAGCUGUUGCUCUAAGCUUGUACACCAGAGAACACACUGGAGAAAAGCCCUAUGAAUGUACUUGAUGUGGAAAGUCUUUCAGGCAGAGCUAUGACCUUGUAGUACACCAGAAAACUCACAUGGGAGAAAAACCCAACGAAUGUAAUCAAUGUGGAAAAUCCUUCAUCCAGAGUUCCAAACUCAUUAGGCAUCAAUGAACUCACACUGGAGAAAAACCAUAUACAUGUCGUGAAUGUGGAAAAUCUUUCAGGUGGAACUCUAACCUUUUGGUACAUCAAAUAAUUCACACUGCCUUAAAACUUAUGAGUAUGCUCAUUGUGGAAAGUCCUUCAGUCAGAGC